rnacentral:misc_RNA from 1 species
GAGGUUGAGGCGUCGAGGUGGGGCUGAUGACUGGGGUGAGUCGUAACAAGGUAGCCGUACCGGAAGGUGCGGCUGGAUCACCUCCUAACAGGGAGACAAACAACGAUUUUGAUGUCUGAGUAUUUUAUUCUUAGGCCGAAAUCCUGUCACCUUAGGUCGAUCGGUACCUCAGCUUUGAAGCCAUCAAAUUUGCAGCGAUGCAAGUGAGGAUGGUGGAGAUUUUUAGUUCCUAAACUUUGUCUAGGUCACACCCCUGAAGGGAUGAGACUCCUGGGCCAUUAGCUCAGGUGGUUAGAGCGCACCCCUGAUAAGGGUGAGGUCCCUGGUUCAAGUCCAGGAUGGCCCAUUCGGUGUUGGGGGUUUAGCUCAGUUGGUAGAGCGCCUGCUUUGCAAGCAGGAUGUCAGGAGUUCGAGUCUCCUAACCUCCACUGACCAAACUGUAUCCCCAUCUCCAAAAGGAAUUGGAGUAUGAAUUCGAUUGGAGUGUGAUUUUAGACGUGUCCGCUGGAUGACCCCAGCUUCCUGUCAUUCCAAAUGAAAGCAAAAAAGGAUUUUGCUAGUUAAAUUUGGUUGAUAAGAUGCUGGGCUCAAGUCAAAUGAUCAAGCAAUUGAUGAUUUGAUUUGAAGUUCUAGCAGAACCUUGACAACUGCAUAGGUAAGUCUGGAAAGAAUAAAGCAUCUCUCAUGGAUGCAUCAUUCUUUUUAAGGAU